CUCAUAUCUUUAAAUACUAUUUUCUUCUUUGGCAUUUGUCAUCUACCAUGUGUUCUACUCUCUCUUAUUUGCUCCUCUGUGUUCUAUAUAAAUGGGUCACAUGAGUCACACUGAUGAGUAAACUAAAACGAAAUACUAUAAGAUGAUGACAUCUUCCAUAGUCUCCUGCACGUUUUUCUUUUUCCUUCUUCUGAUUGUGUUUCCGCAUAUGGAUAGAGCCCUUGGCGAACAAACGGAGCUCCACAAACUCAGCAGAGAGACGAACUAUCCUGACAAAGUGACAGUCCAAAGCCAACGCCGCUAUUUUAUCGGUCCUCCGUCAAUUCCGUGCCAACUGUACCAGCGGUGCAAGCGUACUCCACCCACUCCAACCCCUCCGUGCCACAUCUACAACCGAUGCAAGGGUUCUCCAGGCAAAUACGGAUCUGGUCACUGAUCUUACUAUAGAAUCAAAUGCGUUAUAUACAUAUCGACGUUUCUACGAUAUAGUUUGCUUUCCAGUUUCUGUGGUUCAUCGUCUUGUGUUGUCAUGUUUUUUUAUAGAUUUAUCAAUUACACAUAUCAGUAAGUUCACACAAU